CAAAUCUCUCUAGUUCAGUGAGAACUGAACAGAAGGAAACACAUGUGAAUAAGUAGCUUAGGAACUCCUGAGUUCUCUUUGGAGAUCUUUGGAGAAGCUGAUCCUGGAUGCACGUAUUCACCUCUGCCAGGAGGGGAGAGGACUCUGAAGACCAAGAAGAGGACUGAGCCACAAUAUGGAAGAUCAUUUUCCAAAAAUAGCCAAGCGAAGACCCCUCAACCAGGAGGAUUCUUGGUAGACUGUGACAUAAAAACAAAAUAAAGAUUGACUGUGUUAAAUUGC